AUAACAUUACCAAUAAUAUACUUACUACAGGUAGUAACUCACUAAAGCUUAGCUAGAUAUCUGAAAGAUCAUACGGAGUAUAUAUAUAUACACACACAAACACCGGUUCACAGACACAGAGUGUGCGAAAGGGGGCUGUUGCAUUAAGUAUAAAGAGAAAUCAUGGGCAAAGCAGAGAUUUGCAACCACCCAUAAAAAUUCCAUAUUCUCUGUAAAGCCUCAUUCUUUGAGCCGAUUAUAAAGAAAAGGGGUAAGGGGUCAAAUAUAUGCCCUCCUACUAGAAAGGGUCGGCAAACAUUAACAUCAACAGGAUUCUUACUUUGAGGCUCAGCUCCGUGUUCCUGACAGGGGUAAAAGAGAAGCCAUCGCCGCCAUGGCUGCAAAACCGGUACUAUUCCGGGUUGCCCCGCCAAGAUACGGGUCAGAUCAUCUCAAUUGCCCAGAUGAGUAGCUCAGAACGAACAGAAACCGAGAAAUAUCAUCAUCACCUCACUUUCAAGUUUCAAGGCAUAUAUCUAUCUAGCCAUCCGACAUAGAUUAAGCUAGCAGCAACAGUUUACAGAUUACAGACGACCAAAAACAGAGUUUCCAUGGAAUGAUUGAAAAAGAUUGG